rnacentral:tRNA from 1 species
UGGGGUGCAGUUCAGUGAUAGAGCACUUGUCUAGCAUGCAGAGGCCCUAGGUUCAAUCCCCAGCACCACAA